UACGGAGGAUCCGAGCGUUAUCCGGAAUUAUUGGGCGUAAAGAGCUUGUAGGUGGCUUGUCGCGUCUGCCGUGAAAACCCGAGGCUCAACCUCGGGCGUGCGGUGGGUACGGGCAGGCUAGAGUGUGGUAGGGGAGACUGGAACUCCUGGUGUAGCGGUGAAAUGCGCAGAUAUCAGGAAGAACACCGAUGGCGAAGGCAGGUCUCUGGGCCGAUACUGACGCUGAGGAGCGAAAGCGUGGGGAGCGAACAGG
rnacentral:rRNA from 1 species